UACGAAGGGGGGCUAGCGUUGCUCGGAAUCACUGGGCGUAAAGGGUGCGUAGGCGGGUCUUUUAAGUCAGGGGUGAAAUCCUGGAGCUCAACUCCAGAACUGCCUUUGAUACUGAGGAUCUUGAGUUCGGGAGAGGUGAGUGGAACUGCGAGUGUAGAGGUGAAAUUCGUAGAUAUUCGCAAGAACACCAGUGGCGAAGGCGGCUCACUGGCCCGGUACUGACGCUGAGGUGCGAAAGCGUGGGGAGCAAACAGGG
rnacentral:rRNA from 1 species